UUACAAUGCUGGCUGUCAUGGUUAACAAAAACACAGGACAUUGAAUGUUACCUGAACUGACUCAGAAAGGUAACAUAAAUAGGCCUAUAGUAUCACAGCGAGGUCAAACAGGUGUUUGUGUCAGAUUAUCCAGUGUCCACAGCAACAUCAUUGAUUAUUCUCUACUGUGAUGUGUACUGUGGUUUUAGCCAUGCUCUCACUAACACUCAUAUUUUCUCUUUCUCCCCUUACGGAGACUCUUGGACCGCAACUGAGGACACCCUGGCCUGAUUCCUAGACGUGCCUGGGCCAAUCCCUCCUGGUCCCCUUCUACCUGCUUGUUGCUGCCUCCACUGGUUCUUUCUCCCCCUCAAGUAACUGAUGCCACUCUGCACACACACAGAAACCUGGAUUCCAUUACUUACCAUCACAUCUUUAUGAAAAGCCAUCAGACCAUAGGGUCUUGAAGUGUUAACACUUUCCCUAUAGUCAUUAUGGAUAUGGUCUGAGCCUGUCAGUUAUCAGUUAUUCCAUACCAAGGCUAGAUGGGGCUGAAUGGCAACAACACCACACACAACUGCACUGCAACUAAUGAUGCAACUAAUGARGGAAUAUUCAACAGACUGUUCAGCCUGUUGAAUAUUCCAUCAAUGAACAGAGGGAUUUCUUGGCUUUAUUUGACCUUCAAAAAGGGACACACACAAUAAAGGGAGUUUAUCAAAUAAAGUCAUUGACAAGAAAAGUCAUUCACUACAUCAAUUGUAGUCACAGCCUCUCCUUCAUUUGCUUAACUGGGGGGAAGGGCUGAAGAAACGGUUUACAAUAAGCAGGGCGGGGCUCAACAGGCAGAAGGCAUCACAAAGGGCACCAUUUUCUCUAACUUUUCCAUGUAUAAUGCUCUACUUUUUAGUUUUUGAGAGCCUUGGUCAGAUGGUCUGAUGGCUUUUCAUAAAGACGUCAUGAAUUCAUCACCAAAUGGAAUCACUGCUCUACUGUGAAGUUGUCACGUACCAUCCCAUACCAUCACAGACACAGUCCUCCUCUUCCAUGCCAACCUCAGGUGGUACCCAGCCAGUGUCAUAGCCAUGCAGUGUGCCAGGUCUUCUGCUUGGGGUGGUUCUUCUCCUCUAUGAUAAUAACCUUCCCCACAUCCACUCUGACUUGAAGUACUCUUUUCUCCCAGUAGGGGACACCAGGAGGGUUUUCAAUGGCUUUUAGAACGUCCCAACUAACAUAGACACCAGUUCCAAGAACACUUUAGUCUGCACUUGGUGUGAAACCAUUGUUCUUAAUCAACUCUGUUGUGGUGCCGUGGAACAUCACAUAUUCUGUCUCUGAUCUUCAGGACGUGUGUUGCUGUCUAGGAAGUUGAUGUAGUAUGGGGAGUUAGCCAUAAGCUAGUAACCAAACUGCAGCUGAAUACACCUCUGCUGAGGUGAACAGUAUUAUAAGUCAAUACAAUGCACAAUUACACUUUGUAAUAUUAAAUAGUCCUUUGGCUAAAACUGUUASACUAAAUAGUGAUAUUUAUACAAUAACAAUWWSCGGAAUCACUAUUGUUACAGUAAUAUUACAAGUGUUGUAACAUUAUCAUGCUUAACAUAUAAAUGUACUUUGUAAACAGGGAUUGUUUGAUAUAUCUAAGUUAAGUGUCCAAUAACAAGACUUGUUUA